AAGAGAAGACGAACUAGUAAAAUACUGCUAAUUAUUUAUAAUUAUGGUUAAACUCCAUAAUUCUCUUUUA
rnacentral:tRNA from 1 species